GACGAACGCUGGCGGCGUGCCUAAUACAUGCAAGUCGAACGCAUUUUCUUUCACCGUAGCUUGCUACACCGAAAGAAAAUGAGUGGCGAACGGGUGAGUAACACGUGGGUAACCUGCCCAUCAGCGGGGGAUAACACUUGGAAACAGGUGCUAAUACCGCAUAAUUCCAUUUACCGCAUGGUAAAUGGAUGAAAGGCGCUUUUGCGUCACUGAUGGAUGGACCCGCGGUGCAUUAGCUAGUUGGUGGGGUAACGGCCUACCAAGGCUGCGAUGCAUAGCCGACCUGAGAGGGUGAUCGGCCACACUGGGACUGAGACACGGCCCAGACGCCUACGGGAGGCAGCAGUAGGGAAUCUUCGGCAAUGGACGCAAGUCUGACCGAGCAACGCCGCGGGAGGGAAGAAGGUUUUCGGAUCGUAAAACUCUGUUGUUAGAGAAGAACAAGGAUGAGAGUGGAAAGUUCAUCCCUUGACGGUAUCUAACCAGAAAGCCACGGCUAACUACGUG
rnacentral:rRNA from 1 species